GCCUAGUUAGCAUAUUUUAUAGUGCGACUGCCUUGUAAGCGCUAGGUUGCGGGUUCGAUUCUCGCCCGGGGCG
rnacentral:tRNA from 1 species